ACGGGUGAGUAACACGUAUCCAACCUGCCGUCUACUCUUGGACAGCCUUCUGAAAGGAAGAUUAAUACAAGAUGGCAUCAUGAGUCCGCAUGUUCACAUGAUUAAAGGUAUUCCGGUAGACGAUGGGGAUGCGUUCCAUUAGAUAGUAGGCGGGGUAACGGCCCACCUAGUCAACGAUGGAUAGGGGUUCUGAGAGGAGGGUCCCCCACAUUGGAACUGAGACACGGUCCAA
rnacentral:rRNA from 1 species